GCAAAUUUCUAAGAGUGGUUUUCCAUCUGCAAUUCUCAACAUUAUUACCGAUUCAAGUGAUUCAGAUGUUGCAAAUCCUACAAGUCUUAUGAAUGACAUUGGGGAUGAACGUGCUUAAACCAACACUACUUACAAUAUGAUUCAUGUCAUACACAAGCUAUCGGGGGGAUAUUUACCUGUUAAGUUACUAGUAGAUUAGUACUACUUAAUGAUAUUU